UACGGAGGUCUCAAGCGUUGUUCGGAUUCAUUGGGCGUAAAGGGUGCGUAGGUGGCGGGGUAAGUCAGGUGUGAAAUCUCGGGGCUCAACCCCAAAACUGCACUUGAUACUGCCUUGCUCGAGUACUGGAGAGGAGAUUGGAAUUUACGGUGUAGCAGUGAAAUGCGUAGAUAUCGUAAGGAAGACCAGUGGCGAAGGCGGGUCUCUGGACAGUUCCUGACGCUGAGGCACGAAGGCCAGGGGAGCAAACGGG
rnacentral:rRNA from 1 species